AAAAAUUAAUAGGCACCAUUAAGCUUCACCUUUUGCACGCGAAGCCCAGCAGAGCAACGACGCCAAUCAUCGACAUCCUCCCCAGCCAUCCGUCCCGGUGUCGUCGUCGGCAGCCUUCCCCCUUGCCUUGUUGUGAGUUGCAGAUCGGCGCCUCUCCCCUCAAUCUCGAGCUGCGUUCAAUUUCUCCUCAGGCCAAAGAGAGACCCUCCUAACAGCCAAGAACCAACUGCCGCUCGCAGCCGUUCCACCCGUGACCGCCGCUUGCGAGUUCAGAUGCGGUGGCUUUGGUGAUGGCAUCCGUAUCAUCGCCACUCUUGCCCGAAGAUCUGCGUUCGCCACCAUUGCUCCAUCAACAAGGGUCGCAAACGCUCUCUGCCUCCCCUUCACGGCAGCGUCGCCCCCACACUGCUUGCUACCACCUCGUCGUUCGUCGCGUUCUUUCUCGCAGCUGCUCCGCCUACGACCGCCGCGUCUGUGAACCAGCAACGCAUCUUUGGUGCCGGUUCCCGAUCCAAUAGAUCCUCGUCCUCCACCUUCCCCUUCGCGACGGCGUUGUCCUCGGAGCUGCUUCUGGCCGUGAGUUCCCCAUCGCCGUUGCCCCGAGUGGUGCCAUAAGCAUCAUCACUGUCCAACGCCAUCGCGGUAGAUAAUUUUAUAUGUGCUUCUAAAUCUUCUACUUGUUGAAUUGCUUGUGUUAUAAUAUCAUAGAUUGGGAUUGAUGAUGCUGGAACUGGACCUUGAAAUUUUGAUUGGAUUUCUAGAUCUGAGAUUUGAAAUUCUGCUUGCUCUGUAGAUUCUGUUGAGUCUUCUUGUUGUUGCUGUGGCUGAACAUGAAAAUCAAAAGUGGUUGUUGUUGAGCAGUUUGUUGUUGAAGUCCCUGAUGAACCUGAACCUUGAUUUGCAAAUUAUUUUUCAUAAAAUUUUGCCAAAGAUAAAGCACAGAAAAGAGAUUUUGGAUUUUCAAUUAGAUGAAUCCUAUUUAGUACUUUAAUUUCUAAGAUUUUGGAUUUUAUAAGUGCAGUUGUGAAAGUUUGAUUCCUGUUUAGUACUUUAAUUUCUUGAAGAAGAUGAAUCCUUUUUGUGUACCAACAAAUAUUGGAUCUGCCAUACUUGUGAUGGAUCUAGUCUGUUGUUAAAUGGACACCAUAAAUUGGUGUUUUGUUUUGUACCAAGCUUUUAUUUUGACUAUGUUAUCUUCACAUUUGUAUAUUGAAUGCAGAAAACCACAUAAUAAGAUGUGAAGCUGUAAGUAUUCAUGCUUUAAUAUUACUCUCAGGAUGGUGAAUUUUUCGUAUCCAAUAUUAUACCUUUUAUUUAUUUAUUUAACUUUCUUUUUCAGAGACAAUUUGGUGUAAUGAUACAGUCAUUGCAUCAAAAUGUAUUGAUAAAUUUAAUAUGAAAAUAUUCCUACAGGAUGUGAUGCUUUGUGGUGGUUCAGAUGCUGCUAUUAUACCCAUUGGUAUGAUUCACUAUUGAUUCUUUUUCACCUGCAUAAGGUUAUCAUGCCAUAAAUCUAGCUGAUAUGAAUCCACUAAUCAUUGGUACAUGUUUGGGAGGUUUUGUGGCAUGCAAAGCCCUAUCACAGAGGAAUACAGACCCUACCAAAGCUUUAUGCCCUUGGGACAUUAACCGAGAUGGAUUUGUCAUGGGGGAAGGAGUUGGAGUUUUACUUUUGGAAGACUUGGAGCAUGCAAAGGCAGAGAUAAUUUGAUAGCGUUAGGGGUAGAUGCAUCUAGGAAAGCUCUUGAGAUGGCAAAUGUUGACCCUGAUGAUCUUGACCUUAUAUUGAUGUGCACGUCUACACCAGAGGAUCUAUUUGGUAGUGCUCCACAGAUACAAAAACAACUUGGCUGCAAAGCAAAUCCAUUGGCUUAUGACAUUACAGCUGCAUGUAGCGGAUUUGUGUUGGGCUUAAUAUCAGCUGCUUGUCACAUUAGGGGUGGUGGAUUUUGUAAUGUUCUUGUUAUUGGGGCUGAUGCUCUGUCAAGAUAUGUUGAUUGGACCGAUAGAGGGAGUUGUAUUCUCUUUGGGGAUGCGGCUGGUGCUGUGCUAGUACAGCCCCAUCAACUGGACAUUAAAUUUGCUGCAGUGGUUCAGGCUUGCCAUGACAAGUUUGUUGUUCUCAUCUUUCUAGAUAUGAAGCUCAACUCCAAAAGUUCUGUAACUUAAUGGAUUUUGUUUUCGAUUCGCCUACACCUGAAGCUCUGCAUGGGAGUGCUUCUACAGUUGACCGGUUGAAGUAUAAAUUGGAGAAUUCUAAGUUUUGGGCUCAGCUCCUGCGGCGUACACUCUCCUUGGGACAAAAAGGCAUAGUGGAUUUGAUGGAGUUGUUACUGUCUCCCAUCUCAAAAGUCCUGGACAUGGUGUGAGGUUGUCAUCUGCUUAAUUACUAUUUACAUUUUUUAACUCAGUUAAAUCUGUUCCCGAAAUUGAUGAUGUUGAACAUUUUAGUGAACUUAAUUGAUUAUUCUUAUUUGAGUGAGACAAGAUCCAGAAGGAUAUUUCUUCUACAUUAUUUAUAUUCAUUUCUAUGUGUGGCUUUGAAGUAUUGACAAGGUGACAGAGUUAAUGAAAAAUGGCCUAAACAAUUGUAAU